GGGUGAUCUCUAACUAGAGACAUUUUCACAGAAACAGAAGUGAAAUAUUAUAGGAUAUUCAAGAUUUAUAGGAAGUCCCACAAGAUGGGGCUCUGAAGAGAGCAAUGAAACACCGAAAGGAGGAGCUGGUUGUGGCCAGCUGAUGAGGAGCCUUGAGCUUUGUUCAAAAGUGUUGAGACUUCAUCCUUUAGAACUAGAUGACAAAUGUCACUUCUCAACAGAGGCAUCACCCUCCCUGGCCUAAAGGGUAUGAGGAAGGAAAACAGUUCACAGCCCAUGAGAGAAGUGAUGAGACAGCCACCGUGGGAAGCCAGCUGAGAAGACUGGGUAAUUAAAACAAUCUCAUUUAAUGAUUACUACAAGACAUGGUCUCAGAUAGCCACGACAAAAGUCGCAGAACACUCCAGAAACCCAUGUGAGUUGAUGUAACCUUAUUUAUUAUGUGUCCUUUUUAAUCUUUUAAUCUGUUGAUUUUUCUUGGUUUGUCUUGCUGUCAUCUCAAAACUAAUUGACACAUAUCUGCUCUACAAGAGCAGUAAACGGUUCUAUUGGCUGUCUGUACUAUAUUCUUCACUCAACAACUAGUGAUUUAGUUCUUCUUUUGUGCAGAGCCCCGACCUGAAGUCUGUUUAAAAGCCAGAAGGAAGGGUAGGCAAUUGAUGGGAGUUCUUAAUCUUAUGAGGUUUACUUAAGGCCUUCUCCCUAGAAAGGAGGGUUCGCAGCAGGGUGGACCUUUCCAUUUCAAACACAGAUAUCCUCUAAGCCAGAGCCAGUGCUGCAGAGUGCAGAGCAAACGCAGCCGGAAAACAUUGAAAGCUGAGGGUUGCUCAGUUACAUCAAUGUAAGAAAACAUUUUCUGGGAACCACAAAGACAGACUCUGAGAGCUAGACAACUGGUUCCAUUUAACUAGACUUUUAGAGUAUAUGUCAUUGUUUGCCUCAAAGUAGUCUAUCCAGUCUCCACACACAGGUGAGAUUGUGGCUUUGCCCCAGCCCUCCUGCCAAAUUGGCCCUGGACAUUGUGAGAUUAGAAGGGACUGCAGAUUCCCGAGUCUGCACUGGCUUUUUAUAGCCCUGUUCUUUCUUAGCUGUUACCGUCUACGUUCUCCUUGAUGUGUACGGUACCCUGCACCCAUGAGGAUUUUUCUUUCUUUCUAAGUAUUCUUUUGCCUCUUUCCUCAGUGAGGACGUUUUUUCCAUCCUCCUCUCAAUCUCUCUGAGAGUCCCUACCAUGUUCUUCCCUAGUCAGCGACCGACCGCCAAAACCACAUCUCUAGGCAGACCCUCUUC
rnacentral:lncRNA from 1 species